GCAUACAAUAGAACUUCUGAUAGUCAAUAUGAUGCCUUAAUUACAAGUAAUUUGGUCCCUAUGUAUGAAGCAUUCCAAAAAAUAUGGGAUUACUUCCACAGUGUUCUUCUUCUAGAACAUGCCAAGGAAAGAAAUGGAGUAAAUGUUGUUAGUGGACCAGUAUUUGAUUAUAAUUAUGAUGGUCAUUUUGAUGAUCCAAGUGAAAUUACAGAAUAUGUCAACAGCAGUGUUCCCAUCCCAACACACUACUUUGUGGUGCUGACUAGUUGUAAAAAUAAGAGCUACACCCCCGACACCUGCCCUGGGUGGCUGGACGUCCUAUCCUUUGUCAUCCCUCACCGACCUACUAACGUGGAGAGCU